GACCUCGGAUCGGGUAGGGAUACCCGCUGAACUUAAGCAUAUCAAUAAGCGGAGGAAAAGAAACCAACAGGGAUUGCCUUAGUAACGGCGAGUGAAGCGGCAACAGCUCAAAUUUGAAAUCUGGCUCUUUCAGGGUCCGAGUUGUAAUUUGUAGAAGAUGCUUCGGGUGUGGUACCGGUCUAAGUUCCUUGGAACAGGACGUCAUAGAGGGUGAGAAUCCCGUAUGUGACUGGUCACCUUCGCUCAUGUGAAGCUCUUUCGACGAGUCGAGUUGUUUGGGAAUGCAGCUCAAAAUGGGUGGUAAAUUUCAUCUAAAGCUAAAUAUUGGCCAGAGACCGAUAGCGCACAAGUAGAGUGAUCGAAAGAUGAAAAGCACUUUGGAAAGAGAGUUAAACAGUACGUGAAAUUGUUGAAAGGGAAGCGCUCGCAACCAG
rnacentral:rRNA from 1 species